ACGGACGUCUGCUCCUCUAGAAAACCCACAAUUCCGAGCAAACGCCCGUCGCACUUUUUUCCUUUCGCUUCCAAGGCUAAAUUAACUCACAGCCGAGAGAAUGUUUCGAUCCAGUUUUUUAUUUUUCGCUUUGUUUGUUCUCGUCACGAGCGUCUCCGGCUACAGAAAAUGCAAUUUGCAUACUUUGGCGGCCGAAAACAGCCUGGACUGCGGACACGUAAUGAGUCGCCCGUGGCACCAACCGGGCAGCGUCGCCCGCUGCUCCUGUGCCCGUCGAUGCUCCAGGGACGUGACCAACACGUUUUUCUGCAACCAAGACGGAAAGUGGUACGCGAUGCCCAACCGAGAAACAAAUUUCGACUGCCUUUCCUGUCAAUAUGCGGAUUGUUUCCUGCCCUCGGACAGGUUUUAUGAAUGCAAAACGAACGGGGGUGUUCUCCGAGGUGAAGAGGCGUUUUGCAGGUGCAAAAGCAACAAGCGGUUCUACAUGCUGAAAUGUGCAGCAGAAGGUCAUUGGACUCACUCGAGCAGGUUUCCUUCCUGCGGUGGACCACAAAUCUCACAACAAAACUAAUGAACUUGAUGCUUUCUACGCGCUUUCUCUCUACAACCCCCUAUUUCCUUAAUUCCCCAGUCAGAGGUUUGGUAAGAACACUUUCGACUCUCUCUAUAUUUUCCACUCCUACUUUCCAGAAACAAAAGUUGGCGAAUUUUUGCAUUUUUUGAAAUUCGAGCACUCUUUUCCUGUGUGGAGAGCGCGCGGAUUUGCACCCCUUUCCGCACGACAGCUUUGAUGCCAAUUCAUUGUCGAACGGCAAAACACAAUAGGUGCACGCACGUCAAGUGGGCUGCAGCGCGUCGAGUGCCUCGGAUUGCAUUGUGUCUCCGACCCUGCUCACGGCCGGCUGCACAACAACGAUGCCACCCUCGCUCGUUUUGUUAAGAUGUCAUAAUUAUAUAUAUAUGUGAGCUCGCGCUUUUUUAUGCAGAAUGGCAUCUUUUCAAAAUCACCCGCACUUGCAAAACGUGCAGUUGAGGUGGCACGCACCGACUCCAAGUGGAGAUUCGCAUAUUUAUUAUGAACAGAAGACGCGAACUGAAAUGCUGAGUGCAAAUCUUCUCAAGUAUGUUCUGAAAUAAUUUUUAUUUUUUAAUUUUAUAAUUUUUUUAUUUCAAAAAAAAAAUUGGUUUUAAGCAAAAUAAGCGUCUAUAUAAGCAUUUUUCGCAUUGAAGAAAAAAACUCAAAAUAGGUGAAAAGUUGGUGAAACUCUUAAUGCAUUUUGUGUUUAGCUUGUCUUUUUGCUAAAAAAUUUAAAAUAAAAUAAAUAAACUUUGUAAAUGUUUUAAUUUUAGUCUCAAUUUGAAUUUAUAAUUAGAUUUAUUGAAUGUCUUAUUAUAUUUCAAAUAUUUUAUUCAUUUUUUAUAUUUAUUUUUUUUAUUUUCAAAUAAUAUAUUGACAAUUCCAAGAAAGAUUGUAAGCGAAAAAUGACAAAGAAUCUUGAAUAAUAUGUGAAUAUAGUUAAAUUUUAAGCAAAAAUCAAUUCUUUUAUGUACAUGAAUUGGAUAAACUUGAGCGUCACUGAAAGCAUUUAGAACUAAAGAAGGCACCUUAACGAAAUAACAUUUGAUGACUUGUUUCUCAUUUUAGGAAUGCUUUAAAUUCCAAAGUAAGCCUUUAAAGAGCACGGCAAUAAGAAUUUUGAAAAUUUUUUCUUCCGAGGGAUUUUUGCGGAUUUUCGGCAAAGCGAGGGUGGGUGGCUUAGGGCUGCUCGUUUUGUGGGAAUCCCGGCGCUCGUAGCGUUGCGGUCUCUGUCCGACAGAAUGGCUUUUGAUGUGAAAUGUCAACGUUCGCGCAGAGAAAGAAAUGUUUAUUAUUGCACACCAAGCAUAGAGUGCUGACGGGCGCGUCAACUGGCAGUCAGGCGCGAAAUUCCCAACGACGGUCUUGAUUAAAUCGCAGCCAGCUUAGCCUCUGGCUGGCCCACUGUUAUUUUCAUCCAUCACACUUGCAGCCCUAAUCUCCAGCCUAGGCUGACGACCUACUCAUCCGGUCAUUCUACCCAUUUUGUGCGAAAAAAAAUACAUAUUAUUAUAUUUAAACCCAAACCAAAAUCAGUGCGAUUUUGAAAUUGUACCACAAUUUCCCAAAUUAACCACAAAUAUAACCAUUGAUUUUUUUAACUACUAUUGCAUUAUUUUU